rnacentral:miRNA from 1 species
UGGCAUUGUGGGAUAGAAGCUC